UUCGCGGCGUGGAAGGCGGCGACCUUCCCCACGCCCCUGGCCUGGGGCGCGUCGUUCGACCCGGAGGCCGUGGAGC
rnacentral:tRNA from 1 species